UAAUCUUCUUCCUCUGUAGAUGACGCCGGCGGUGUGCCUAAUACAUGCAAGUCGAACGCGUUGGCCCAAUUGAUUGAUGGUGCUUGCACCUGAUUGAUUUUGGUCGCCAACGAGUGGCGGACGGGUGAGUAACACGUAGGUAACCUGCCCAGAAGCGGGGGACAACAUUUGGAAACAGAUGCUAAUACCGCAUAACAGCGUUGUUCGCAUGAACAACGCUUAAAAGAUGGCUUCUCGCUAUCACUUCUGGAUGGACCUGCGGUGCAUUAGCUUGUUGGUGGGGUAAUGGCCUACCAAGGCGAUGAUGCAUAGCCGAGUUGAGAGACUGAUCGGCCACAAUGGGACUGAGACACGGCCCAUACUCCUACGGGAGGCAGCAGUAGGGAAUCUUCCACAAUGGGCGCAAGCCUGAUGGAGCAACACCGCGUGAGUGAAGAAGGGUUUCGGCUCGUAAAGCUCUGUUGUUAAAGAAGAACACGUAUGAGAGUAACUGUUCAUACGUUGACGGUAUUUAACCAGAAAGUCACGGCUAACUACGUGCCAGCAGCCGCGGUAAUACGUAGGUGGCAAGCGUUAUCCGGAUUUAUUGGGCGUAAAGAGAGUGCAGGCGGUUUUCUAAGUCUGAUGUGAAAGCCUUCGGCUUAACCGGAGAAGUGCAUCGGAAACUGGAUAACUUGAGUGCAGAAGAGGGUAGUGGAACUCCAUGUGUAGCGGUGGAAUGCGUAGAUAUAUGGAAGAACACCAGUGGCGAAGGCGGCUACCUGGUCUGCAACUGACGCUGAGACUCGAAAGCAUGGGUAGCGAACAGGAUUAGAUACCCUGGUAGUCCAUGCCGUAAACGAUGAGUGCUAGGUGUUGGAGGGUUUCCGCCCUUCAGUGCCGGAGCUAACGCAUAAGCACUCCGCCUGGAGACACGACUGG
rnacentral:rRNA from 1 species